rnacentral:rRNA from 1 species
UACGGAGGAUGCAAGCGUUAUCCGGAAUGAUUGGGCGUAAAGCGUCCGCAGGUGGCUGUGUAAGUCUGCUGUCAAAGAGCGAAGCUCAACUUCGUAAAGGCAGUGGAAACUACACGGCUAGAGUGCGUUCGGGGCAGAGGGAAUUCCUGGUGUAGCGGUGAAAUGCGUAGAGAUCAGGAAGAACACCGGUGGCGAAGGCGCUCUGCUAGGCCGCAACUGACACUGAGGGACGAAAGCGUGGGGAGCAAACAGG